GGUUCGAUGGUCUAGGGGUAUGAUUCUCGCUUUGGGACACCAAUUUGCGAGAGGUCCAGGGUUCAAAUCCCUGUCGAACCC
rfam:Wallemia ichthyophaga EXF-994 unplaced genomic scaffold scaffold28, whole genome shotgun sequence.